CUUUGGGGUCAAGGCCCUGAAAGUGUAAGUGUGAUUGCAGUGGAUAGGCACAUUGAAUGUGAAAGCUACGUACCACCCACGCGCACCGUGGUUCUUCUAGAAAAAGUAGAGGCUGAAAAAGUAGAAGAAGCUCAGGCUGCGAUAUCUGUGGAUCAAGGUGAUGUGUUUGUGUUAGUACUCACAUAUUGCACAUCAUCGGAAGAAGCUGGGCAGUCUCAGCUUUCAGACACCGCCUGUUGCCAGUCGGCACGCGCAGAGGGUGAUCCAACAUGUGAUCAGCAACCAGCAGCUCGGACUGUGUCUUCCAACCCUCUGGGGGCCUGCGGCGGCGGCCGGCAGGGCUGAGCAGCCCCACCAUGGCGGGCGCCCGCUCCCGCCGCCAGAUCGUCUUGUUCCUGGCCAUGUUCAUCUUCCCCUUCGCGCUGAUCAUGCUCUUCAACCAGCC